UACAGAGGGUGCAAGCGUUAAUCGGAAUUACUGGGCGUAAAGCGUGCGUAGACGGUUGCGUAAGUCAGAUGUGAAAGCCCCGGGCUCAACCUGGGAAUUGCAUUUGAGACUGCGUAGCUAGGGUGCGGAAGAGGGAAGCGGAAUUUCCGGUGUAGCGGUGAAAUGCGUAGAUAUCGGAAGGAACACCAGUGGCGAAGGCGGCUUCCUGGACAAAAACUGACGCUGAGGCGCGAAAGCUAGGGGAGCAAACAGG
rnacentral:rRNA from 1 species